rnacentral:rRNA from 1 species
AUUGAACGCUGGCGGCAUGCCUUACACAUGCAAGUCGAACGGCAGCACGGACUUCGGUCUGGUGGCGAGUGGCGAACGGGUGAGUAAUAUAUCGGAACAUACCCUAGAGUGGGGGAUAACGUAGCGAAAGUUACGCUAAUACCGCAUACGAACUAAGGUUGAAAGUGGGGGAUCGCAAGACCUCAUGCUCAUGGAGUGGCCGAUAUCUGAUUAGCUAGUUGGUGAGGUAAAGGCUCACCAAGGCGACGAUCAGUAGCUGGUCUGAGAGGACGACCAGCCACACUGGAACUGAGACACGGUCCAGACUCCUACGGGAGGCAGCAGUGGGGAAUUUUGGGACAAUGGGGGGCAACCCUGAUCCAGCAAUGCCGCGUGAGUGAAGAAGGCCCUCGGGUUGUAAAGCUCUUUUGUCAGGGAAGAAAAGGUUGUGGCUAAUAUCCAUGACUCAUGACGGUACCUGAAGAAUAAAGCAACCGGCUAACUACGUGCCAGCAGCCG